rnacentral:lncRNA from 1 species
UCAUGUUUUCCAUUCAAAAAAAAAAAAAUCAUGUUUUAUAGCAAACAUGUUAGUUGUUUUGUACAUCUGAUCUUGUUCUAAGCCAUCAAAUUUGAUCAUUUCUUCAUACAACUUAGCUUGUAAAUCAACUACUUCCUUCUCAGCACCGAAAAGCACACUAAUCAAACUAUCUAUUUUUAGUUACCAUGGCUGCAACCAUCUUAGUCAUUGCCCCAAUAUUUGAAUAUGUUCAAUUCCCUAAAUCCAAUAAGAGAUAACAUGUCUGACAAAGCACAAUACUUUUGCUUUAACCAUUUCACUCGAGAUUUAAUAUGAUGAGAAUGCUUUGAAACAAGAACCUUGACAAUUUGGCUUCCAUCUUUUGUUCCACUUGUUGUAAGUGGCUAUUUCAGAACCUGCAAUCUAAUUGUCACAUAAAAUUUUGACUUAAAUCCAACAAUGAUUCAACUGAUACAGCAUUUUGGGCUGUCAUCCAAAAAUACUUAUUUUGCCCGUACCUCUUUGAGUUGGAACAUAACUCAUUUUGUAACAAUAAUGUAUACAAAAUUAUUAGAAUCCAAAUAGAUACAAUGUCAAAUAAAAAUUAAUUGCAUAAUUCAUAAGCAAAAUCAUAAGCAAUCAGAUCAUAAGGAAACAGAUACAGUGUCAAAUGAAAAUUAAUUAUAUAAUUCAAGCAAACAGAUGCAAUGUGAAAUGAAAAAAGAUUGCAUAAGUCAUAAGCGAACAAAUACCAAUGUUAAACAACAACCCGAAAUAAGAAGGCAAUACAUCUCAAGCAACCAACACAAACUCUUCAUUAUUCUCUACUUACAUGCCAUGUGUUCCACAUCUCUUGGGCCAAAUUUUGUCUUCACAUAGUCUAUUUAUGUGAGGGCUCAACUGAAUCAACAAACUUUGAUUUGUUUGACAUUCUAGAGUCAACUCAUUAUCCAUUUCCAUCUCUAUAUCAUCAUAAGACAUUUCUCUUCUACUAAAGUUAAGUAGCAUACAACAAAUAGAUUUAAUAUGCCAUUGUGUUUUUAUAUAUAUAAAAUGAAGGACUUCCUAAUCAGCCUAUCUCUUCUUCAAUAACCCAAAACAUCGUUCAAUUACAUUACAAGCAUCUAAGUGCUUCAUAUUAAGUAACUCUUCUAGAACAGUAGGUUGGUAUCCUUCACUAAAGUGACUCAAACGAGGUUACUUGAAUAUCAUUCAAAUAGUAACAUAGUUCUCUAAAUAGAGAAAGGAAGAAAACCCUUCCUAUUGCUGUAGCCACCAUCAACCAAGUAAUAAUAGCUUAUUAACAAAAAUAGGAUAUCAUAAAUCAAUCUAAUUGACAAAUGAUGUAAUCUUAGAAGCUAAAGAUGAUUUUGGUUAGAUAUAUUACCAUUAGAACUUGGAAACCAUUUCUUCUAGUUAAAGCAUAUAGCAUGCAAAUAUGUUGAGUUGAACCUUUCCAUCCUAGUAAAAAGUAGAUAGAUUGCAUGUCUUGUGAACAAACUGUCAAGAUAUUUGUUGCAAUUUCAUUUUUCCUAGUUUUAUAUUUUCUAUCAACCUUGGAAACGUGAACCUUUAUGUGCGUCUUCUAACGCACCCAACCAAUUCUACAUAAUAAGAUAAAAAAAAAUUGUAAGGCAAUAUACAAAAAUGCAUCAGAGAAAAUGUGAUUUGAAAACAAUAUUAUAGAUACCUUAAGCUACUUCCAUUUUGGGUCUGUUGGAUUCUCCAUCACUAGCUCAAGUGUUUUUCAAAACCCCUUUUGGCAUUUAAUUAUUACCUUUAAACACUCGUGGAAAUAUUUACUAACUAUUUUUUGAAUCUUGUGAAAUUGAAACCAACAACCCAAUUCUUCAUAUGAUGUGCCUAAAUAUAAAAACAUUGCAAACAUCUCCUCGGGAGAUACAUUUCGAGUGCCAACCAAAUGCCUUUCCCACAAAGAAAGUUACAUAAAAUUUUGAAUGUUUCUCUAUCCAUUCUUAAUUUUGACAAAUAUUUGAUAUCACUUUGAAAAAGCAAAUCAUACACAAAAUAGCUCAUUUGUUUGUAUACUCUAGAGAUUGAUUUUGUACUAUCGAAGUCUCCAUUCAUAAGUCAAGCAAAGAUGAAAACACAUGGCAGCCCACACGGUCACAAUCAUUUGCAAUACCAUAAUCAAGUUCUGUAUAACUACAAUGACUCUUCUUUCUUGCUAACAAAUAAGUAAUUUCUAUAUCUCAACAUAACAAAAUUAAGCCAAUAGAUAUUAAUUAUUUAAAAUUAAUGAACAGAAGCACAAUAUCAGAUAUGAGCAGCAAUGAUUAUUUGGGCACCAUGUAAACAAGAAAUGCAAUUUUAAUAGUACUUUAAGCUCAAUUCCUAGAUAUUAAUCUACAUUGUCAACUCAAUCUAUUUACUGAGGAAGAGAGAGAGAAAAGAGAGAGAGAGAGAGAGAGAUGCAUGGAAAAGUUCAAUUUUUUCUCCAUAGACUAAGAUUUGCAUUGAUCAAUUUGUCUUUCAAAGCCAACCACAGAAUCCGGCAAUUUAUUAUCAUGAUAAAUGAUAAACGAUACACAAAUAAAAUAAAAAGGGGUGAUUAAGAAACAAAAUCUGGAAUCAAAUGCCUAAUUCAUAUAUUUCUCGCAUACUGGAGCCACAGUGAUUGUAACAGAACAAGUAAUCAAUCCAAGUAUGGCAUGGAUCACCAACAACAUUGACUUCGUGAAAAUGCCAUAAUACACAUGAAUUAAAACAAAUCAGUGAAACAAAUUUAAAGUGAUAUACUUUUAUAGAAAUUAAAACAGAAAAAUAUUUUAAAUUUUCAAACAAUUAUGUUUCUAAUAAUAUAAAUAUGCCGCCCCCAAGGGAGUAGCGCAGUUGGUUGAGGGAUUUAGAUCUGGUGCUUGGCUAUAUCAUGUGUUAGGGGGUCUAACUGACCCCGGUUUAGAGGCCAGGUUGGACCCGUGGUUUGAUUCGGUGUGCGAGUCUAGAUUAUAAAAAAAUAAAUAAUGUAAAUAUGCCAAAAUUUAAUCAGUCAUAUUCAUCUUACUUUUUUUUUUCUUUUUUGUAUUCUGCUGCUGAUAACAAAUAUCUCAAAGACCUCCACAAACAACUCAAAAACCUCAAUUAACUGCACAGAAAACCGGCAAUUAACUGUCAAUAGAAUGCUAGUAAUUCGGGAAAUAAAUAUGAAUUGUAAAUAGAAAAUUAUACCUAAAAAAUCCAAAAAUAUAAUAGAAAAUAUUUUUAGACGCUCAUUUGGAGAGUGUCCAUGCUGACCUCUACUCAAGCAAAUCUUUAUUAAAGCAUCAAAGAGAAGGCACAAAGUUUAUACAAAAUUAGUCAACUUUCUUUCAUUUUUUUUUCUUUUUUUAAACAUCCAGCUUAGCAUAACAAAAAAUUAACAUCUAAUUUUCCAAAACAAUAGAAGUGCAGAACAACAACAAAUUAAUUCCAUUAAUAUAAUAAUAUUGCACUAUAAAAAGAAAGAAAAAAAGCUUCACGCGUGAUUUUAUGAUUCUCAGAUCAAACAGGAAAAAAAAAACUGAAAAUUUUGCUCCCAUAAAACUAAGAAUGAAAAAGAAAAAAGAAAAAAAAAGAGAGAGAUUACUUAGCAACUAUGUAUUUGCUGGUAUUUCCUAUACAAAUAGAUAUUCUUCGUCUAGAUUUGGCUUCUUUUAUUUAAUUAAUUGUCACAUUCAUUAUGGUGUUUUCCAGAAGAUUUUGCUUUUGCAUUUACAGUAACAAAAUAGGAGUACAAGAUCAAGAAUCAAGAGUUAGCAAGUAAUACUCAAACAAGGAAGCUGCGAACGGCGACGGCAGCGGCGAGGAAUAUUCACGAUGAGAAGGGGCCUGUGGAUUAGCAGAAAUUAGCGAAUCUGAUCGUCCUGUUUUUUUUUUUUUGGUUUUAAAUAUUGAUACUGGGGCAAGCCUGCGAUUUGUGAGUUUUAUGAAGUGUAUAAUUGUAAGGAGUGCCUAAUUGCCGGUUCUGAGAAUGACAAUUUUAAAAUCUUAUAAUUUUCUAGUGUUAA